UAGUUUGUAAUUGAAAAUUAUGACUAACAUUUUCUUUUCAAGGUACUAAAAAAGAAUGUCCAAAUUAAAAAAUUAUGUAAGUAGAUAGAAUAUUAUCAAUAUUAGAACAUCUAGGUAUCACUAAAAAAUCAAGGGGAUUUUAUAAUCUCAAAAACAUUAAGCCUUCAUCAAGUCCAGUUAACUACCUGAUUUGGGUAAGUUAGUUACCUUGCAACUGAGAACUUUACCUCAUUGAUAUGUGUCUACAAUUUGUAAAAUCAAGCAAAAGAAUCCUUUUCUGGAUUAAAGAACUUUUAUUUCCACUCCAGUGAAAAAUAUGAAAUUAAAAACUAAAUAAUUGUUUUGGCAACGAUAUGUCAGUAUCUUCAUAGUAAGAUAUGUAGUUAUUUGUAAAAAGAAAUAAAAUGUAAGGGCUAAAAUACUAGAAAUUUUGCUCUGACUUUUAUGGUUUGUACACCAGGUGCUUAGAUAUAUGUGCUCAGAUAUAUGAUGUAUAUAACAAACAAGCAAACAAAACAAAAUAGUAGCCGUGUGUGUGUGUGUGUGUGUGUGUGUGUGUGUGUGUGUACUGAAUGGGGCUUGAACUCAGGGCCUUUUUCUUGCUUGGCUUCUUUGCUCCAAGCUGGUGCGCUACCACUUGAGCCCUCUUCUACUUCCAUAACUGGAGAUAAAUCUUGAGGAUUUGUCUGCUUGGGCUGGUUUUGAGCCAUGAUCUCAGCCUGUUGAGUAAUUAGGAUUACAGGCCUGAACCACACUGGCACCCAGUUCUUAGUUACCUUUGUAUUCAUGUUGGUGUGAGUAUAAUUUAGUAAAAUCUUUAGUAAAACCUUUAUAUAAGACAAUGUGGUAGAAUCUAGUAAAAUCACAAGUGCACAAGCCCCUUGACCAUUAAUUCAGUUUUUGAGAAUUUGUCUUCAGAUAUGAAUUAGUACAGAUUCAAAUGUACUACAACAGUUUGUAACGACAAAGAAAACAACCUAAAUUUCCACUAUAUAAAGACUAAUUAAA